UAGUAACGGCGAGUGAAGCGGCAACAGCUCAAAUUUGAAAGCUGGGCGUCGGGCCCGAGUUGUAAUUUGUAGAGGAAGCUUUUGGCGCGGUACCUUCUGAGUCCCCUGGAACGGGGCGCCAUAGAGGGUGAGAGCCCCGUAUAGUUGGAUACCAAGCCUGUGUAAAGCUCCUUCGACGAGUCGAGUAGUUUGGGAAUGCUGCUCAAAAUGGGAGGUAAAUUUCUUCUAAAGCUAAAUACCGGCCAGAGACCGAUAGCGCACAAGUAGAGUGAUCGAAAGAUGAAAAGCACUUUGAAAAGAGGGUUAAAUAGCACGUGAAAUUGUUGAAAGGGAAGCGCUUGUGACCAGACUUGCGCCGGGCUGAUCAUCCGGUGUUCUCACCGGUGCACUCUGCCCGGCUCAGGCCAGCAUCGGUUCUCGCGGGGGGACAAAGGUCCGGGGAACGUAGCUCCUCCGGGAGUGUUAUAGCCCAGGGCGUAAUGCCCCCGCGGGGACCGAGGUUCGCGCUCU
rnacentral:rRNA from 1 species